UUGUUAUAACACGUAGCAUUAAUUCCCUCAACUAAUACAGUAUGCAAAAUGGUAAAAAUAAAUUUUCCCUGAAACAUCUAUAGUUUUUUUUUUCCAUUUUCUUUUUUUUUUUGUUUUGGGGAUAUUAGUUGUGUUUUUACUGCUGUGGAGGUGGCUGUUCAUAAUAGCUCUGCUCACUCUACUUCUAGCUUGCUGCAUCGGAGCCUUGAAAACUUAUCAGAACUGUCUGUACGUAGAAGGGAGAGACCUCUGGACGAGAGCCUCCUGGAUGAGUAAUUACCCACACGUUUGUACAGGAAUGCCUAUAUAUUGCCUUCUCAGAAUGUUCCUCAGAUGAAGUUAAGUUAUUUCAGGUGGAAGCUCUGACUCUGUCCACAUGUUAAGAAGACAGGGGGUGAGUCAUCCUCUUGGAUUAUCUAUCAUUUGCUUUCAUCGUGGAUCAAACAGAAUGGAAUGCUCUUUAGUCACAGUUUACUCAAAGGAAAUAAAGUGUUAUAAUUGAAGAUCCUUGAGUAUCCCUCCUAGAUCCUGUUUGGUUUCCUCUAUCACUAAAG